rnacentral:rRNA from 1 species
UACAUGCAAGUCGAGCGAGCUUGCCUAGAUGAAUUUGGUGCUUGCACCAGAUGAAACUAGAUACAAGCGAGCGGCGGACGGGUGAGUAACACGUGGGUAACCUGCCCAAGAGACUGGGAUAACACCUGGAAACAGAUGCUAAUACCGGAUAACAACACUAGACGCAUGUCUAGAGUUUAAAAGAUGGUUCUGCUAUCACUCUUGGAUGGACCUGCGGUGCAUUAGCUAGUUGGUAAGGUAACGGCUUACCAAGGCAAUGAUGCAUAGCCGAGUUGAGAGACUGAUCGGCCACAUUGGGACUGAGACACGGCCCAAACUCCUACGGGAGGCAGCAGUAGGGAAUCUUCCACAAUGGACGCAAGUCUGAUGGAGCAACGCCGCGUGAGUGAAGAAGGGUUUCGGCUCGUAAAGCUCUGUUGGUAGUGAAGAAAGAUAGAGGUAGUAACUGGCCUUUAUUUGACGGUAAUUACUUAGAAAGUCACGGCUAACUACGUGCCA